rnacentral:lncRNA from 1 species
CAGCAGGAAAAAGCCAGCCAGUUAUGACAUGCCCCUUUGCAUGGUGCAUACUUGAGAUGGAACAUCCCAUUUCCCAAGCACUGGAAUUGCUACCCAAGAUUGUCACCCAGGUGAUAAAAACGACAAUGCAGCCAUGUACACAGAUAACUGUCACCAGUGCUCAACCCCUUUGGUUGACAAGGCGCAGACCAUAUUCUCAAAGUUGAGUUGCACGGGCACAGAUGGAUUUGCAGUCUAGCUCAGUAAGCACUGCCAGAGUUCUUAGUUGUGUUGCUAUAUCGUCAGGAGGGUUCCACGAGAUUUAGUGGCAUUUUCUACUUGGAUGGGCAAACCUACUGGGACAGAGGCAUAAUGUCAUAUUUGCUGCAGUUACAAUACCAUAUGUGAAAUCGUAUUGGGUAGCUGAUGUAGAUUCUCAUCCAACUAUGGUUUCCAAAAGAAAUUACUAUGUAGUUGAUUAAUGGAGUUAUCACUAAUUCACUAUAUCUUUAUUACA